CUGCUUUCUGGCUCGCUUUCCCUCUGCUCCUGUCACCAGGAUGUCAGCACCCAAAUUAGUGCAAGGCCCCAGCCCAAGCAAGCAUCAGCUGGAUUGUCAGCCCAGGGAAUGACCCACCCUUGGGACCUGCUGUUACAGCCUUGCCUCAGCUGUCACCUUCCUGUGGCCUUCCACUUUCCCUGGGCAUGAAGAGCUGCCAAAAGCAGCAGUCAGCUUCUCCCUGAGGAAGAAGGAGCUAUGUGCAAGGUCAGGAGAGGCUUAGCUCGUGGGGGGACAUGGAUGCCUCGUAGAAGAUUCUGGAUUCAGGAUUUCAAUAUCAACUCCACAAAAUCCUACACAGCUUCGGACCGGCCCGUGUUAUUGUGGGCUGAGCCACCCUGCAGCUCUCACGGCCGAAGGUGAACAUCCCAGCCUUCCCUGGGCUCUUAUACAGAGGCUGCGUCCUGCCAAAGAAUUCUUUUCACCCAGAGACCCCAGCCACAUUGCUGGCAAGAGACUUUCCUGGGUCUGUGGGCUCUCCUAGAGCUCCAGCCGGCAUUAAUCAUCCUCUGUGCCUCAGUUUCCUCCAAGGAAGAGGAGAAUGACAGGCAGAGACUUGUUCAAGUCACUCUGCGGGUGCAGCCCAAGGAAGAUCCCCCUGAAUGGCAGCCAGACUCCAGAAUCCUCUGUCAUGCUCACUAAUGCAGGGCAUAAGUUGGCAUCAGGGCCGGCAUUAUGUGUUACACAGGGCUACCCACUCGGAAGGCCCUCAGGCUUGGUUUAAUGCCCUACUCUUGCUGUUUCAAAUUUCGUAAUAAGCCGUAAACCAUGAA